UUGGAAGUGAAAGACCAGCUGCUGCUCAUGUACCUUAUGGAUUUGACUCACCUCAUUCUGGACAAAGCCUCAGGAGGAUCUCUUCAGGGACAUGAUGCAGUUUUGAGACUGGUGGAGAUUCGCACGGUAUGAAGCAUUUGGAGUUUUAGGUUUCUAAAUUUUGAGCUCCAAGGGUAUCACACAGUAGCUCUCAUUUAAGUGAGUCUUCUCAUGUUUAAGGAAACCAAAUGAGAAAAGGUAUUUUUCCAUUCAUUUGCUCUACUUUGUACAUAUUUUAGGUGCCUUAUGUGGCACCUUAAUAUUGGGACUCUGGUGUGUGCUUCAUUUUGGGAAGGAAAUAUAAUCCUGAUUAACUACCAUGUUGUAGGUUUUGGAAAAGCUUCGUCCCUUGGACCAAAAGCUGAAGUAUCAAAUUGACAAGCUGAUCAAGACUGCAGUGACAGGCAGCCUUAGUGAGAAUGACCCACUUCGUUUUAAGCCUCAUCCCAGCAAUAUGAUGAGCAAGUUGAGCUCUGAGGAUGAGGAGGAAGAUGAAGCAGAAGAUGGCCAGUCUGAGGCUUCAGGGCAGAAAUCUGUGAAGGGAGUGUCUAAGAAAUAUGUUCCUCCACGCUUGGUUCCAGUACAUUAUGAUGAAACAGAAGCUGAGCGGGAGAAGAAGCGUCUAGAACGAGCCAAGAGACGGGCAUUGAGCAGCUCUGUCAUUCGUGAACUUAAGGAGCAGUACUCAGAUGCUCCAGAGGAAAUCCGUGAUGCUCGGCAUCCCCAUGUUACCCGCCAGAGUCAGGAGGACCAACACAGGAUUAACUAUGAGGAGAGCAUGAUGGUGCGUUUGAGCGUCAGUAAGCGAGAGAAAGGACGGCGAAAACGAGCAAAUGUCAUGAGCUCACAACUUCAUUCCCUUACACACUUCAGUGACAUCAGUGCUUUGACAGGGGGAACUGCUCAUCUUGAUGAGGAUCAGAAUCCUAUUAAGAAGCGGAAGAAGAUACCU
rnacentral:sRNA from 1 species